GGAGGAUUGCCAGGAAAGAAGCCUUUUUAUUCAUGCGAUGUCAGCCCAGGAAAAUAGGAGAUCAGUCUCAAAUCUGUCUCCCCUACCAACUGAAAUUGAGGGCUUUAUGUAUCAGGAGGAGGAAUGUAAGUACGUGCUGGAAAACAGGAAUUAGGAAGGGGAAAGGAGGCAAUCCUGACUAAUGGGAGGUCGGGCAUCUCAUUGUCUGGGUGUAGUGUUUUGGUACGUUUCAGUCCCUUGCCUGAGGGUUGGUUUCCUGAGGAUGGAACUCAGAUAAGACAAAUCAAAUAUAGAUACCUGGAGAAUUCCAAGAAUACAGUCUAAGUUUCUAACUUUCCUUGCUAGUGUAAUUAUGUGAAUAAUUUCUGGCCAAUAAGACAAGCAAAAGAAUUGUGUGCAACUUCUGGGAAGAGAAGAGAUGUGACUUCCUUCAUCUUGUUCUUCACCUUGCUGUCUGGAAUAUGAACUUGAUGGCUGGAACUUGAGCAGCCUUCUUGGAUCAGAAGGCGGCCUGGGAAUAGGAAUAGAGCUGAAGAGAAGCCGCUGCAUUCUUGAAAAUUAUAAAGAUGCCAUGCCAUUUCAGCUUGCUUUCCUGUGGACUUCAUUUAUAUGUAUGAAAUAAAAGUUUAUAUUGUUUAAGCUCCUGUGGGUUUUCUGUCACUUGCAACUAAAUACAAACUUAUAUAAUUUGAAAUGU
rnacentral:lncRNA from 10 species